rnacentral:lncRNA from 1 species
GAGAUGGACCAUGUUGGGCCCCUUCUCUCCCCGUCCCCAGGCCGCAGUUCGGGGGCCACGCCCCGGCGUGCUCGGGUCACCGCGGGAAGCCCUUGAACCCCCUGGCGCCCGGCACCCACGUGCGGUAACCGCGGCUCCUCGAGAGCUCCAGGGAUGCGGAUCUACAGUAAGGGCUGUGGCCAGAUGAAUGAAUGCACAUUUUUUAGUGGGCAGAAAGAUGUUAGAAUUCAUGAAUUAGAAUAAGCACAAAGGAGGGCGAGAGGGGAGGCCGUGGAAGCCGCAUUCCUCCCCUUGCCUUGGGCGCCCACCCCCGAAGGGGCGCGUCCCCUCCCUGCUCCACUGCACGUGGGUGUUUAACCAGGGGAUAUCCAGUGCCUCAAGCACCACGACCCGGGAGAAAACUGAGUUGAGAAGUGCCUGGACCACGGCUGAAAGUAACUCUUGCAUGACAUUUGACAGAAGAGGAAACCGAAGCUCAGAUUAAAUUACCUGUCCACAGCGGGAUCAUUCGGCACGAGUUCCUCCCUGUCUGGAAUGCUCUUCCCCAGCGAUAGAUCCUGCGGCUCUUC